GACGAACGCUGGCGGCGUGCCUAAUACAUGCAAGUAGAACGCUGAAGGAGGAGCUUGCUUCUCUGGAUGAGUUGCGAACGGGUGAGUAACGCGUAGGUAACCUGCCUGGUAGCGGGGGAUAACUAUUGGAAACGAUAGCUAAUACCGCAUAAUAUUGACUAUUGCAUGAUAGUCAAUUAAAAGGUGCAAUUGCAUCACUACCAGAUGGACCUGCGUUGUAUUAGCUAGUUGGUGGGGUAACGGCUCACCAAGGCGACGAUACAUAGCCGACCUGAGAGGGUGAUCGGCCACACUGGGACUGAGACACGGCCCAGACUCCUACGGGAGGCAGCAGUAGGGAAUCUUCGGCAAUGGACGGAAGUCUGACCGAGCAACGCCGCGUGAGUGAAGAAGGUUUUCGGAUCGUAAAGCUCUGUUGUAAGAGAAGAACGAGUGUGAGAGUGGAAAGUUCACACUGUGACGUAUCUAUCAGAAAGG
rnacentral:rRNA from 1 species